AUGGUAUGUAUGUAUUACCCGUGCUUAAAAAUGCCGUGAGCCGGUUUGUUAUAAGCAGUAUGGCUUUCGUCGACCGCAAGUAGUGUUGAUGGCAAUAGUGACUCUCACUUGACUGACACUUUGUGAUAGGGUAUCUCCUGGUGUAGAGUAACUUUUAUUAUUUAUGCGCCACGUUGGACGGCGAUUGAGAAAAUUGUGGAAAUUCAAUCUUGAUUAAGUUUUAUUUUAUACAUUUCUUUCACUUCACAAAUGGUUAAUACGUUAUAAAUUCUACCAAAUCCACUAUUAGCUAGUAGUGAACAACUGUGACAUUGACAGAAAAAAAAUAAAUAAAAAAGAACUGCAUUUACACCAUAAUUACCUCGUGAAGAAAUAACAACAAUUUAAAAAUAGACUAGAGAAUAUUCAUCAUUUUUUAUUUAAACAAUUUUGCAUAGAAAUCAAUUUGUUCUCAUUAAUCUGAUUUCUCAUCACUUAAAACAGUUAUCAAAUAAAGGAUGUGUUGGUUAUAUAUACAGCAGUUUUCCGAAAUAAUGAACACAUUAAUUGUCAGGCCAGUUCGUAAUAUCGAAAUUUUCGUUAAUUCGAGUAACCGAAAAUUGCAGAUUAAUAUAUUGUUUAUUAAUUAUUUGUUACAAUUUAAAGCGCUUAUUUUAUAUUUAAAAAAUUUAUUAAUCGUCGUUUGCUUUGUUGGAAUACGAAGAUUAUAUUUGAUGGCUUCUUUCAGAUGCCCACUAGAUAAAUUGUUCGAAAAUUUUCUGUAUGAACCAACCAAAUCACUGACUGAGAAUUAAAGCCGAAAAUAUUAAAUAAAAAUAUUUAUUUGAAAAGGUCUAAGCAUAUAAUUUAACGUUACUUACAGUUGGAAAAGCCGAACUCAACAAUUUCACUAUAUCCCUCAUUACCAAAGUAUUCUCAUUUUGCCUUAGGAAUGACGAAUAAUCAAGAUCAUACUCUUGAUCAAAAUUACCCUGCUUUUACACUUAGGUGAAAAGGAAAAACAUAAAAAACAUAAAGAAAUAUUGAUAUAAUAAUUUCUUCUUUUGCAUUUUUUUCAAGGCCUGUUUUGUAUUCUGUUUUCACUACUAUUUUAUUUUUUUCAACUUUCGGUUUUCGUUAAAACGAAUAUUCGUUAUUUCGGAAUACUACUGUAUUGUGAUAAUUAUUUUUAUUUUUAUCUACUAAAGUAGGAAAUAAUCAGUCGGCAUUUUUAACUUCAGAACUACUGAUUCUGUAGAAUCUGAGGCAAAUACACAACAAAAGAAAAAGGGGAACAAUAACUCAACAGUCAAGUGGCACCACCAGAGUUUCGUAUCAUGUUCUCCCUGGCCGGAAGUUAAGUGGCGAUCUUGCAAGAUGAUAAAUUUAUCGCUGGUGGACUAAAACAAAAACAAAAAAACAAGAAAAGACGUUAUCUUCAGUUGCACCGAAGCUUUAAUACCCUUCACAAAUGAAAAAGGUUCCUUACAAGAACUUGAUUCCGAUCGUUCAGUUUGUAUGGUAGCUAUAUGAUAUAGUGAUCUGAUCUGAACAAUUUCUUUGGAGAUUACAUUGUUGCUGUAAAUAAUAAUCGAUGCCAAAUUUCGUGAAGAUAUUUCGUCAAAUAAAAAAGUUUGCAUACCAGCACUUGAUUCCUAUUGUUCAGUUUGAAUGGCAGCUAUAUGCUAUAGUGGACCAAUAUCGGCCGUUCCAACAAAUGAGCAGCUAUUAGUGAGGAAAGUAUAGGUGCACUAUUUCAGAUUCAUAAUUUAAAAACUGAGGGACAAGUUCGUAUAUAUACACACAGACAGACGGACAUGGCUAAAUCAACUCAGUUCAUCAUGCUGAUCUUUAUGUAUAUAUUUUAUAGUAAAGCGUUUAUAAGACAAGUAUAAACGAGUAUUUUUAUACUACUUAUCUUCGUAAAUGUUUCUAGGAACAACAAAAAUACCACCACCUUAUUACUGUAAGCUCUAUUUUAUUAUAUAAUUAUAAUAUGUAUGUAUUGCGUAUUAUGUAUAUUAAUUAAUUAAUACAUAGGGUGAUCCAUUUCGAGGUUCCCUACUUUUUUAAAGAAAAAAUACAGACAAUUCGAAUUUAUUGGUGAA